AGCAUUUGGAUGGAUCAUCUGGAU
rnacentral:siRNA from 1 species